rnacentral:miRNA from 1 species
UAUGGCAUUGUUCUUGGUGACA